AUGCAGACUUGGUGCAACAGAUUCCCAGCAUUCCGUGUCAUCAAUGGAGACCCUCGGCACUCGGAUCAUCGCCCGAUAAUUAUUGAGCUGCAGGGAGCUGCUAAGCUAAGAAGGGGGUCGGCGAGGAGUUUGGAGCCCAGAUUUGAAGCUAGAUGGCUUGAAGAGGAGAUGUGUCGAGAACUAGUUCGAAACAAGUGGGAGAGAGAGAUGGCGGGCAGGGACAAGAAGGUAGCAGAGGUGACAAGAGGAGUGAUGACAGACCUUGUUGAGUGGAGUAGAAAUAUCCUGGGGGACCUAGAUAAGAGAAUUUGCAGAACAAAGAAGGAGUUAGAGUGGUGUAGACGUGAUAACAUUGGGCCGGAGCAAGUUAGGAGGGAGGAGGUGUUGCGAUUCAAGUUGAACCGGUUGGAGGAGCAAAGAGAAACCUAUUGGAGGCAGCGAGCACAUGUACAUUGGUUGAAGUGCGGGGAUAGAAACACAAAAUUCUUCCAUGCAGCAGCCUCAGAGAGAAAGCGAAGGAAUAAGAUUAGAAGG
rnacentral:rRNA from 1 species